AAAGGUAUAGCUCAGUGGUAGAGUGUAUGCUUAGCAUACAUGAGGUUAUGGUUUCAAUCCCCAGUACCUCUG
rnacentral:tRNA from 1 species